UAAUGACGGUGAGGAAAAUUUUUGAGCAUAACCUUGAAUCUUUCCCCAGAUUGGUAAAGAUUCUCUCCAUCUUUCUACUUGAAACUCAGAAUCUCGCUUCUCAAACG
rfam:Capsicum annuum cultivar Zunla-1 chromosome 7, whole genome shotgun sequence